rnacentral:rRNA from 1 species
GACGUAGGGCGCAAGCGUUGUCCGGAUUUAUUGGGCGUAAAGAGCUCGUAGGCGGCUUGUUGCGUCGUCCGUGAAAACCCGCAGCUCAACUGCGGGCUUGCGGACGAUACGGGCAGGCUGGAGUUCGGUGGGGGAGACUGGAAUUCCUGGUGUAGCGGUGGAAUGCGCAGAUAUCAGGAGGAACACCGGUGGCGAAGGCGGGUCUCUGGGCCGAUACUGACACUGAGAAGCGAAAGCGUGGGGAGCGAACAGG